CAUUGUAAGGAUUGAGAUCCCUUUACUUUUCCACAUGAACCACUGUUAUUCCAACACUGGUUACUCAAUGAACCAUCUUCUCUGUGAUUAAUUGAAAUGCCACCUUCACAUACACAGACACUCGUAGGGCCUAUCCACUGGGUCACUCUCUCUGCCUUGCCUCUUGUAGCUUUAAAACUCAAUUCAGUAUUUGUUAAGACCCUUCUCUGCCUGCACUACUGUCCUUUUUCAGAAGUUUCCUGCUAUUGUUACAAAUUGAUUUCCAAUUGAACUUUACUUUCCUUUUUUAAGUUUCCCUCAAAAAAGUCUAUCUGGAAACGUUACUAACAUCAUAUUGAUAUUAUAGACUUUAUUAAUUUAGGGAGAAUAUAUGUCUUCAUAAUAUUAAAUAUUUCACCUAAAGAUUGAGAUAUUAAUUAAAUUAAAUAAACGCAUGGGAGUGGGAUGGAGGCUGUGUGUGAGGGAUGGAUUAUUAAAGUGGUCCAUAAAUAUAUUUUAUGUCACUUAAAAAUAAUGUAGAAUUCCUCACAGCCAUCUUGAAAAACAGAGUGUAUAUAUAGCUCAAUAAACAAACAUUGACUAUAAUAAUAUUCCAGUAAGAAAAUAUUUUGCUUCUACAAAUAAAAAUAUGUGGCCAUUAAAAGGAUUUCUUUAGCAGAGUCCUCCACAUUGCAAAAUUCUAUAAACAGAAACCAACAUUUUUAUAACCAGAAUACCCUAAAGGGCAAUGAAUUACUUCAUCUCCCACACGAAACAACCCUAGCAUGAAAUUAGGGGGUGACAUCAUAGAAGGCCCCAGUCCAUCAUAUUAAAAUAUGUAGAGUAGAACAAAAGAGUCAUAGUCUAUCUUUUAUCACAUUUUAUGACGUGAAGUUUGAAAUGCAGGAUGCGUCAACCUAUUAGCAGAAGGAGUAAGAGCUACACCCUUUAACAAGUUGCAAGAACCAGUAACAGACCCAGGAAUAAAUAUGAAUGCCUGAUCACCACAAGAUGCGCUCUGUCAAGAUGACUUCCACUGUGACAUUUGGGUAAAAAUCCAGAUGGCAAAAUGAUAGAAGAGCUCUGGAUUUGAAACCAGAAAAUCCAGUUUCAUGUUCUAGUUAUUCAGCCAGUAGUUUAAUCUCUGUGAGCCUCAUCAAUAAAGUGAGGAUGAUGGAGCCUCUCAAAGUCCUUGAGAACAUCCCAUGAAACUAGACGUUGAAACUGCUUUACAUAACAUAAAGCGUCAUACUAACUAUAAAAUCACCCCAAUUUGUUGUCAGUUAGGCAGAGUAGGGUUUCCUUCAAAAAUAUGCAGAUCAUUUCUCAAAAGUCUUGCUGUUCCCAGUAGAUGCCAGCUGACUUCACAAGCUAAAAGUUGGUUGUAAACAGCUGUCCUGCAGUAGAUGGACAAGCCUCAAGCUGCUCCUCCUCCGCUCAGGCGCCCAGCGUGAACAGCAAAGAGGCCUGGGAACUCACUUUCUCUCUUUGUGUUGCUGCCCACCAUCUGUUUCUUGCAGCACAGGAAUCUUCAUCUAGAAAUCUCUGCAUUGCCUCUGCUUUUCCCCAGCCAUCACAGUUUCUUCUUUCUUUACAUAUCAGCCACCAUGACGAUGUUUAUUAACCCAACUACAAGAAAUGUUGAAAAAGAGUAGAGCAGAUUUCCUUAAUGACAAGUUUUGAUAGCCUCUUUAGCCAGCCAUAUCACAUGCAAUCUUGUCACCUUUGUCACCUGGGUCAUUUAAAAACAAUUAACUCCUGAU
rnacentral:lncRNA from 1 species